rnacentral:rRNA from 1 species
GGAAAAGAAACCACCAGGGAUUGCCUCAGUAGCGGCGAGUGAAGCGGCAAAAGCUCAAAUUUGAAAUCUGGCGUCUUUGGCGUCCGAGUUGUAAUUUGAAGAAGGUAUCUUUGGGCCCGGCUCUUGUCUAUGUUCCUUGGAACAGGACGUCACAGAGGGUGAGAAUCCCGUGCGAUGAGAUGACCCGGGUCUGUGUAAAGUUCCUUCGACGAGUCGAGUUGUUUGGGAAUGCAGCUCUAAGUGGGUGGUAAAUUCCAUCUAAAGCUAAAUAUUGGCGAGAGACCGAUAGCGAACAAGUACAGUGAUGGAAAGAUGAAAAGAACUUUGAAAAGAGAGUGAAAAAGUACGUGAAAUUGUUGAAAGGGAAGGGCUUGAGAUCAGACUUGGUAUUUUGCAUGUUGCUCUCUCGGGGGCGGCCGCUGCGGUUUACCGGGCCAGCAUCGGUUUGGAGCGGCAGGAUAAUGGCGGAGGAAUGUGGCACGGCUUCUGCUGUGUGUUAUAGCCUCUGACGAUACUGCCAGCCUAGACCGAGGACUGCGGU